GGCUACAGUGUCUGAAAGAUUGAAAACAUUGAUCAGAGAGAUACGAGUGCAGUAUACAGAAGAGACUCCAUGCAAUCCAGACGGAACUGCAAAAGAUAUAGGUCCAGUUGACACAGAUUCUGCUUUAUGUAGAUUCUUCAUGGCAGGGUCGUGUAAUAAAGGGACCCAAUGUGGUUUCUCUCACUCACUCCAGGCCAAGAUACCUGUGUGCAAAUAUUUCCUUACAUUUGAGGGGUGUCGGUUUGGAGACAAAUGCUUCUAUUCUCACGACUACGGGCCAACCGCUGCAUCAAUAAUUUCACGAACUGCAUGCUUGCAAGAAGAAGGAAAUGCUUCAGCUUAUUUAUUUCUAGGAUUCUUGCAAGUUGAUGGCUACAUUCUCAUAAUGAACGAUAAGGAUCUCAAUUUUUCUACCAGCCUGGCAUGCUAUUUUGAUCCAACAAAGAUGUUUGUCUCCAGCAGUCAUCCAUAUUCACCCGACAUUGAAGCUUCAUUACCCGGUGUUACUCUGUUAUGGGAUGUGAGCCACCCACGCCACCUAUUCAUUGAGAAUAGAGUACCGCCCGUUCCAUGGGGUGAAAUAAGUUGUGUGUUAUUAUUCGUUGACACUUGGGCCGAUGAUGCAAGAGUGCUGCAGCGUAUGAUGCAGAAUUUCUUCGAGCUCCUUGCCAUCCGUGUUUUGGCUGAUACCUUGUACCGCUUGCAGGUGAUCUUAACCAUGAACAACAAUAGAUUCGCACAGCUACAGGUAGAAAAAUUGGCACGCGAAGCGUUUUUCUAUCUAACACAUUCUUUUCCGUAUGAUGAGUCGGCUCUCGGGAAGUUCACAGACCCCAGCAAGAUCAAGCGACCAAUGCAAGUCUCAGCUCCGUUUUCGUAUGUGUUCGAUAUGCGUCCCCCAAUCGACUCGCAAUUUGGCGACUACAC
rnacentral:misc_RNA from 1 species